GCAGCCAGCUGCGAGAUUUGGUGUGAAUUGCAGGACACAUUGAGCACUGAUUUUUCGAACGCACAUUGCGGCCUCGGGUACUACCCGUGGCCUCGCCUGUCUGAGGGUCGGAUAAGACUUACCGAGGAACUCUCUGUUCCAAUUGGCCGCACCGGACUUUCUAUACGAGAGUGCCGCCGGCUUAAGAUGCACUUAGUACUCUCUCGGGUCGAUGAAGCGCUUGACUUCGGACGGACAGAGCUGACUCUCUUCCGAAAAGAAGGGUGCAAACUGACCGUGAGGGGGAGAGCACUUACAAACACUUUGAACCGAUUAAAAAGUGUCGACCUCAGAUCAGACGAGACGACCCGCUGAAUUUAAGCAU
rnacentral:rRNA from 1 species